rnacentral:rRNA from 3 species
AAAUUGAAGAGUUUGAUCAUGGCUCAGAUUGAACGCUGGCGGCAGGCCUAACACAUGCAAGUCGAACGGUAACAGGAAACAGCUUGCUGUUUCGCUGACGAGUGGCGGACGGGUGAGUAAUGUCUGGGAAACUGCCUGAUGGAGGGGGAUAACUACUGGAAACGGUAGCUAAUACCGCAUAACGUCGCAAGACCAAAGAGGGGGAC